AGAACGAACGCUGGCGGCAUGCCUAACACAUGCAAGUCGAACGAGACCUUCGGGUCUAGUGGCGCACGGGUGCGUAACGCGUGGGAAUCUGCCCUUGGGUUCGGAAUAACAGUUAGAAAUGACUGCUAAUACCGGAUGAUGACGAAAGUCCAAAGAUUUAUCGCCCAGGGAUGAGCCGCGUAGGAUUAGCUAGUUGGUGAGGUAAAGGCUCAACCAAGGCGACGUAUCCUUAGCUGGUCUGAGAGGAUGAUCAGCCACACUGGGACUGAGACCACCGGCCCAGACCUCCGUACGGGAGGCGAGGCAGGUGGGAAUAGUGACGAAGUGGGAACGAAAGCCGUAGAC
rnacentral:rRNA from 1 species